rnacentral:rRNA from 1 species
CCUACGGGCGGCAGCAGUGAGGAAUAUUGGUCAAUGGUCGGGAGACUGAACCAGCCAAGCCGCGUGAGGGAUGAAGGCACAGAGUAUCGCAGACCUCUUUUGCCAGGGGACAAAGGCGCGGACGCGUCCCCGGCUGAGUGUACCCGAAGAAAAAGCAUCGGCUAACUCCGUGCCAGCAGCCGCGGUAAUACGGAGGAUGCGAGCGUUAUCCGGAUUUAUUGGGUUUAAAGGGUGCGCAGGCGGUCCGUUAAGGCGGCGGUCAAAGCCCGGGGCUCAACCCCGGCGCGCCGUUGAAACUGGGAGUAUCGAGUUGGGUAGAGGUAUGCGGAAUGCGCGGUGUAGCGGUGAAAUGCAUAGAUAUCGCGCAGAACUCCGAUUGCGAAGGCAGCGUGCCGGCUCCACACUGACGCUGAGGCACGAAAGCGUGGGGAUCGAACAGGAUUAGAUACCCGAGUAGUC